rfam:Triticum aestivum genome assembly, contig: Triticum_aestivum_CS42_TGACv1_scaffold_344695_4DL
CAUCUACUCCCUCCGUUCGGAAAUACUUGUCCAAGGAAUAGAUGUAUUUAAAUGUAUUUUAGUUCUAGAUACAUCCAUUUGUAUCCAUUUCUACGACAAGUAUUUUCGAACGGAGGAAGUAGCUU